rnacentral:piRNA from 1 species
UACAAUGGGUGAACCACAGCAAGUGAGUGCA